rnacentral:rRNA from 1 species
UACGUAGGGUGCAAGCGUUAAUCGGAAUUACUGGGCGUAAAGCGUGCGCAGGCGGUUUUGUAAGUCAGAUGUGAAAUCCCCGGGCUUAACCUGGGAACGGCAUUUGAGACUGCAUGGCUAGAGUGUGGCAGAGGGGGGUAGAGUUCCACGUGUAGCAGUGAAAUGCGUAGAGAUGUGGAGGAAUACCGAUGGCGAAGGCAGCCCCCUGGGAUAACACUGACGCUCAUGCACGAAAGCGUGGGGAGCAAACAGG